GGUUGUAACACUAUUUGGUAUGCCUCAUAGUUACUGAUAAGUGGGUGGUCAUUCAAGAGUAUGGUGCAGUCGCGCAGAGAUUGCUGCUUUAGCAUAACCAAAAAUAUUGAGCCAUAGAAGCACACUUGUGUACUUAAAGGAUGCUGCUGUAAGUAUAGUUUUCAACAAACUUUUUGGCUGCUUAUGUAAUCACACACCCAAACCGAUAGGUGCCACAGUUUUAAAGUAAAGCCCUGUACUUUCUAGCUUCAUUAUAAAUUCAAUGUGUAGUCGUGUAUUUUGGAAUACAAUUCUGACUUCAAUCAAAUACAUUGCUCAAUGUGUAGUCCUGUACUUUCUAGCUAUCAA